AUUGAACGCUGGCGGCAGGCCUAACACAUGCAAGUCGAACGAGGGGCGGACGGGUGCGUAAUGUCUGGGCAACUGCCCGAUGGCGGGGGUUAACUACUGGAAACGGUAGCUAAUACCGCCUACCAUCAGCUGUGCCCAGAUGGUAUUAGCUAGUAGGUGGGGUAAAGGCUCACCUAGGCGACGAUCCCUAGCUGGUCUGAGAGGAUGACCAGCCACACGGGAACUGAGACACGGUCCAGACGCCUACGGGAGGCAGCAGUGGGGAAUAUUGGACAAUGGGCGCAAGCCGGAUGCAGCCAUGCCGCGUGUAUGAAGAAGGCCUUCGGGUUGUAAAGUACUUUCAGCGAGGAGGCGUUACUCGCAGAAGAAGCACCGGCUAACUCCGUGCCAGCAGCCGCGGUAAUUC
rnacentral:rRNA from 1 species